GAUGAACGCUGGCGGCGUGCCUAAUACAUGCAAGUCGAGCGAACAGACGAGGAGCUUGCUCCUCUGACGUUAGCGGCGGACGGGUGAGUAACACGUGGAUAACCUACCUAUAAGACUGGGAUAACUUCGGGAAACCGGAGCUAAUACCGGAUAAUAUAUUGAACCGCAUGGUUCAAUAGUGAAAGACGGUUUUGCUGUAACUUAUAGAUGGAUCCGCGCCGCAUUAGCUAGUUGGUAAGGUAACGGCUUACCAAGGCAACGAUGCGUAGCCGACCUGAGAGGGUGAUCGGCCACACUGGACCUGAGACACGGUCCAGACUCCUACGGGAGGCAGCAGUAGGGAAUCUUCCGCAAUGGGCGAAAGCCUGACGGAGCAACGCCGCGUGAGUGAUGAAGGUCUUCGGAUCGUAAAACUCUGUUAUUAGGGAAGAACAAAUGUGUAAGUAACUAUGCACGUCUUGACGGUACCUAAUCAGAAAGCCACGGCUAACUACGUG
rnacentral:rRNA from 1 species